AUGUCUUCCUGGAGAUUGCUCUUUGUGGAGUUUUUGUGAGCCUGCAACAUUGACUGAAAAAGGCCUGAAAAUCACUGAUGCUGGCCAGUGCACUACUUCUCUGGUGGACAUCUGUGACCCAGCAUCUUGGACAGUGAGGAAGGAGAACCAGAAGGAAGGGAGAAGCUGUGCCAGCACAAAUUAUAUGCGAAGGACUGGCUGCUGUGGGCAAAAGCAAUACCCUGCCUACCUUCUUAUAGAAUCCCUACUGCAUUGUUAGCUCCCACAUACACAUGUACAUAUUUAUUGCUAUUCCCUUACAAAGAUUACUAUCACAUAUCUCUGUAAAAUCUGAACAGGUACAUAAUCAAAUUGUGAAUGUUCUUUUUCAUACUUAUGAUACCAAAAAACAGUGUUACUAGCAUCUGUUUUAUAGGCUUCAUUGUGGGCUGCAGAGAUAAAUGUUACUGGCUCUCUCUAAGCUGUAAAUACAACUGUUCUCAAGAAAGAUGCAAGUCAUAGUAACUGGCGUGUUCUCUACACAUACAAUAGAAAUAUUGUAUAAUUUUUGAGAUUCUUUCCAUUUUGUUUGAAGAUCAGUGAAACUCAAAGUUUGUAUAGUAUUUUCAUCAGUAGUAGAAAUCACUGUGUUUACAAAUCAUUUUCUUGCAUUAUGGCAAUCAGAAUCUGUUAAAUCAGUUAUAUCUAAAGAAAUGUAUGCAUCACUUCACGUGGUUCUGAAAGACCAAGCUGUUUCCUUGUUUCUCCUUCAUAACAUCUGGCACUAAACUAUGACUUCACAGAAUUACAGAAGGGCUGAGGUUGGCAGGGUUCUCUGGCAGUCACCUGGUCCAAUCCCCUAGACAACAAGGGCUGCCUAGAACCACAUGGAACAGCUUCUCUUAAUCUAGUAAGGUAGCUCAUUCUUUCAUACCUGUAUGUAAACCAAAGCUGGCUUAUGAUGAUAUUUGAUAUAUAACAAGGCAAGUACUUUGCACACUUCCUUUUUCAUGUAGUUACUAACAUAGAGCUUUCAAUAAUCAUACACAUGUUCAGACUCAUUCAAAUGUUUCUGGUUACUGCCCUUAUUAAAACUUCCUCUAUAGCUAUUCAUCCAGUUUCUUCUCAAGUCUUGACUCCUUAGUUAUAGUAAUGGCCCUCACCUAGUCUCUUUUUUGAUAAUUAUGUAUCCUCCUUAGAGAAAAGGCUAUCCUUUAUACUCAGGUUUAGAAUAUUUGUGCAUCGCACACAUGUUCACCCACCCAGUCCUUUUAGAAAUCUGUGCAGGAUCCUGAGAAAAGUCAGUUAUAUAUGAUAAAAUUAUCUUCUUUAAUGUAUUCAAAUCUGUUGUCAAUCUUAUCUAUGUGAUCUUGCUUUGUCAAACAACAGUUAGGCAGCACUGUGCUGAAAAUAUAUGCAUAUGGAAAGAGAUACUAUAAUCUGAAAAUCAGCUAUAAAAAAGACAAUUAGAUCAAAGAAGAAUUAAAACUCCUAGCAGGCAGAUAAGACUAGUGUAAUUAGAUCUCCAAAUAGUUUUCCAUGCUUUUUGUGCAUACUGUAGCAUGUUAUUCUUUUCUUUUGUUUUUCUUCAGAUACCCUUUUGCUAUUACAACAGGAUUUGAAAUUUGCCAUUAUGUCUUCUUGAAAUUCAGUAAAAAAAAAAAAAAAGCUGAAUAGAUAAAGGUCUGAGAAUAGACAUAAACAAUCUGUUUUACGCUCUGGGAACUGUAGUUCAAUGGAUAGAUUUAGACAAAUAUUUUCAUAAUAAAAAGCUGUGCUACUAGUGUAAUACUGACAUUGCUGUAUGUAUAUGAAGUAAAGGAAUUUAAAGUCAAGAGGAAAUAUUAUUAAUGAGGAAGAACAUGCUUUCUUGCUGAGUUAAAAGUUGACUCUCCCGUUAUGGAGUAUCACAAAUGCGCUGAAAUGAAUUCCAAGUAAUGCAUCUCUUUGUGAUUAUUACAGUCAUUUAAUUUACUGUUUUUGUCAGGUCUUUUCUUCCUAUGAGAAGUUACUAAUAACUCGCAUGUAGUUUCACACUGCUUACCUUCUCUACAAGUUUGGCUGACCUGCAUAUCAGCUUAUAACAAGCUGAAGGGAAAGAAGAAAUUUCCUUCAACUACACACUGACCUGUUUACAGAAUAAACAUAUAUUCUAAUUAGCUCCUUAUUGUGAUAGCCAAAGUCCUGGAGUAAGCUUGAACUUGAACCAUGUAGGAAUACUGGGAGCAUAACACAGAGUCUGACCCAUGGUUCUUUAAUGGGCUAGGUCAUAAAAGAACCUCAGGCAUCUUUUGUGUUUUUGUGUUUUGAGCUAAAUCAAGGGAAAUGGCUAAAGAAGCAGAAAGAUGGAUACAACUCUAAUUUUCUCUUGUUUUUACUUUAAUACAGUUCCUGGUGAGAGGCUUUAAUAAUCAUUUUGAAAAAGCAUGUCCCUAAAUUAUGCUACGUCAAAAUUAUAAAUAGUAUCAAAGG
ensembl:lncRNA